GAUGGGCCUGCGCCCGAUUAGGUUGUUGGUGGGGUAAUGGCCCACCAAGCCUACGAUCGGUACGGGCAGUGGGAGCUGAAGCCCGGAGUUGGGGACUGAGACAAGGCCCCAGGCCCUACGGGGCGCAGCAGGCGCGAAACCUCUGCAAUGCGGGAAACCGUGACAGGGGGAUUCCAAGUGCUCAUGCAUUGCAUGGGCUGUUCUUUGGUCUAAGUAACCAGAGGAGUAAGGGCUGGGCAAGACCGGUGCCAGCCGCCGCGGUAAUACCGGCAGCUCAAGUGGUAGCCGCGAUUAUUGGGCCUAAAACGUUCGUAGCCGGAUAAGUAAGUCUUUGGUUAAAUCCUGCGACUUAACCGUGGGAAAUCUAGAGAUACUGCUUGUCUUGAGACCGGGAGAGGUUGGAGGUACUCCCAGGGUAGGGGUGAAAUCCUGUAAUCCUGGGGGGACCACCUGUGGCGAAGGCGUCCAACUGGAACGGGUCUGACGGUGAGGGACGAAACCUAGGGGAGCGAGCCGGAUUAGAUACCCGGGUAGUCCUAGGCGUAAAUGAUGCGAGUUAAGUGUGGGGGCAUCCACGAGAUGGCCCUGUGCUGUAGGGUAGCCGUUAAACUCGCUGCCUGGGGAGUACGGUCGCAAGGCUGAAACUUAAAGGAAUUGGCGGGGGAGCACCACAAGAGGUGGAGGCUGCGGUUCAAUUGGAGUCAACGCCGGG
rnacentral:rRNA from 1 species